rnacentral:rRNA from 1 species
AACGAACGCUGGCGGCGCGCCUAAUACAUGCAAGUCGAGCGAGAAGACGUAGCAAUACGUUUGUAAAGCGGCGAACGGGUGAGGAAUACAUGGGUAACCUACCCUCGAGUGGGGAAUAACUAGCCGAAAGGUUAGCUAAUACCGCGUACGCUCCUUGGACUUCGGUUCAGGGAGGAAAGCGAUACCGUGGGUAUCGCGCUCUUGGAUGGGCUCAUGUCCUAUCAGCUUGUUGGUGAGGAACGGCUCACCAAGGCUUCGACGGGUAGCUGGUCUGAGAGGACGAUCAGCCACACUGGCACUGCGACACGGGCCAGACUCCUACGGGAGGCAGCAGUAAGGAAUAUUGCGCAAUGGGCGAAAGCCUGACGCAGCGACGCCGCGUGGGGGAGUGAA